GAUGAACGCUGGCGGCGUGCUUAACACAUGCAAGUCGAACGGAAAGGCUCCUGCUUGCAGGGGUACUCGAGUGGCGAACGGGUGAGUAACACGUGGGUGAUCUGCCCUGCACUUCGGGAUAAGCCUGGGAAACUGGGUCUAAUACCGGAUAGGACGAUGGUUUGGAUGCCAUUGUGGAAAGUUUUUUCGGUGUGGGAUGAGCUCGCGGCCUAUCAGCUUGUUGGUGGGGUAAUGGCCUACCAAGGCGUCGCCGGGUAGCCGGCCUGAGAGGGUGUACGGCCACAUUGGGACUGAGAUACGGCCCAGACUCCUACGGGAGGCAGCAGUGGGGAAUAUUGCGCAAUGGGCGCAAGCCUGAUGCAGCGACGCCGCGUGGGGGAUGACGGCCUUCGGGUUGUAAACUCCUUUCGCUAGGGACGAAGCGCAAGUGACGGUACCUGGAGAAGAAGCACCGGCUAACUACGUG
rnacentral:rRNA from 1 species